ACUAUUACAUUUUAUUGCUAUUAUAAAUAUACCUUCAACAUUUUUAUUUCUAAUUUUGAUUUCUAAUGUUGCUAUUAUUAUUAUAGCAAUUUUAUUGUUAUUGCUGUUAUCACUAUUACUUGUGCAAGCGACAUUAUAUCCAUUGUUUGUAUCAGGUUGUGUUAAAUGUUGUGAGAUGUUUAAACCUACAAUACACAUGUUUAUAUGACCGUAAGUAUGGAUUAUAUAUAUAUAUAUUUAUAUAUAUCGAUGUACUUUAAUAGUAUAUUCAGCAUAUAAUAUAAAAUAAAAUAUAUGUAUGUUUGUGCGUACAUGGUCGUCCUAUCAAAACAAAAUAAAGAAAGUUACUUGUAAUGUAAAGUAACUUUAAAAAAAAAAUAAAUAAAUAAAAAUAAAAGUAAUAGUAUUAGUAUUAGUAUUACUGGUAGAGCUAUAGUAGUAUUUCUAGUAGUAGCCGUAGUGGUAUUAUUAGUAGUAAUACUGCGCAUACAAGUAAUAAAUUAUAAUAAAUUACAAUAAAUCACAAUAAAUUACAAUAAAAUACAUUAAAUCUACUAUAACAAAUUAUAAUAAAAAAAAAAAAAAGCCUUCAAUGGAGAAAUUGCGAAUAUAUAUUUUGAUAGUUUUUCUUAUUUUUUUUUAUUUAUCAAGUAAUAGUUUGAUUGUUGUUAAGUGUGAAACGAAUAAAAAUGAUGUAUAUUCCAGCAUAUUAGAAGAUUUAAACCUGAGUACAAAUUUUAUAAACUAUUUACAUAAUGUUAAUGUACGCUCAACUUUUGAAAAAUGCUUAAUAGAAGAAAAUUUAUUAUACCAUUUAAAUAAGAAAAUAAGAAAAAGUGAAAAUUAUAUUAUUAAAAAUCUUGAAAAGCGUUUAAUAGGUAUAAAUCCUGAAAUGUUAAACAAACAAGGAAGAUGGGAUAUACUUAGGGAUAAAAUAUUAAAACUGUGUAGUACGUUAUAUUGUAAAUAUAAUAAAAUAGUAGAAGACUUUUGGAAUGAUUUUAUUAAUCAUUCAAUGGAUAUAGGUAUAAUAUAUUGUAAUUUUGAAACGAAGUAUUUGGAAGAAUAUGAUAAUAUAGAAAAUUUAAAAAUAAAAUAUAUUUCUACUUUUAGUGCUGCAAAUGAAACAUUCAAUGAGAUACAAGUAAACAAAAAAUGUGACGAUAGUUCUGAAUGUAACUGUAGUGAUGUUAGUUACAAUGAGUGUAAUUGUAAUGAUGAUAGUGACAAUGAUUGUACCUGUAAAUAUAACACAAUAAAAAAAGAAGUUAUAAAACAAAUUAACUCACUCAAUGAUAUAAUAAUUAAAUUAAAAGACAAAAUUGCCAUAUUAUAUGUUAUUAGUUAUGGAUUACACGAAUUUAAAAAAGAUAUGGAUAUUUAUGUGGAAAAAUAUAAAAACCAAAAAGUAGGUUUAUUAUAUGAUCCAGAUUCUACAAAUGGUAAUGAUAAACCGAUUGAUAAAGUUGAUAGUACUAUUUUAAAUGUUUUAUAUAAUUUAAUGGAUAAUUUAAUAUUAAAAUUAAGAAAAAAAAUUACUAUUAGUAGAGAUACACUUCAAAAUGAAAUAACAAAAUUUGAAAAAGAAUUAAAUAUUUUUAUAAAAAAUGUGAAUCUGGUCAUAAGAAAAAAAAAUAAUAAUAAUAAUGAUAAUGAUAAUGAUAAUGAUAGUGAUCAUGAUAGUGAUAAUGAUGAUAAAAAUUUUGUGAGUAUAGAAAAUACCGAACUGAAUCCAGUUUUCAUCAACGUAGAUUGGUUGAGAGAAGAGUAUGAGCAGUAUGUUCAACUAAGGGAGAAACAAAAGUCGUAUGAAGAACUGAAUAGUGAUUCACCUGGUAAUGAUUCACCUGAUAAUGAUUUGCCUGGCAAUGAUUCACCUGGUAAUGAAUUACCCGGUAAUGAAUUACCUGGUAAUGAUUUACCUGAUGAUGUUGCACUUGACAGUGGUUUACCAAGUAGUGACAUGUUAAGAAGCGAUUUACCAAACAACUCGAACAUAAUUAAAUAUUUUGAUGAGAACUUUAAAAAGCUGAAUGAAUAUGUUGCUAAUUUAGACAAUACAGAUAAGUUAAUAUUUUGCGAUAAAACAAAUGUGGAUAAUUUUUUAAAAAAUGAGUUGCAUAUAAUUGAAUUAUUAACAAAUAUAAUUAUGAAAGAACAUUUUAAUUUAUUAAUGGAAUUUGAAAACUUAUACAACAUUUUAAAAAAUAUACCAUUUAUUGAAUCAUUUAGUAUCGAAAACAAUAGUAGUUAUGUAAUGGCUUGGAAUAAUAUUGAAUAUUAUUCAAAUAAUAAGAUUUUAAAAAAUGAUACUGAUAUGUUAAUGAAUGUGCUUAAUGUAUUAAUAAAAAAAAUAAAUAAUUGUAAAAAAAAUAAUAAUAUUAAUGAAGAUAUUUUUUUCAAUUUAAAUAAAAUGUCAAGUAAAUUAUAUGACACAAACAAUAGAAUAUUAUUAUUAAAAAACGAAAUUGGUAUAUUAUUACAUAACUCCAAAACUUUAAAUUAUAUAAAAAAAAAUAUUGAAAUGUUUGUAAAUAUAUAUAAAGAAAAAUUUGACAAAAUAAAAAUAAAAGUUAAUUCUUUUCUUAUGGCAACUGAUAUACUAAAUGAUAAAAUAGAUAUCGCACUUGAACACAUUUGUAAUGAAAUAUAUAUUAAUCAUUUAAUAGGAGAAUAUAAAAAACUAAAAAAUAUAUGGAAAACAUAUAUAAACAAAAACAUUCGAACUUAUAAUAAAAACAAUAUGUUAAUUACAGCAUACAAAAAUAAUAAAAGUAUUGUAUUUCCACCUGAAUUUUUAAAAGUAAUGGAAUCGACCAAGAUAGCUCGACUCGAACCGAGCAAUGAUGAUCAAGGUGAACAAAACAGACAAAUCGAACAAAACGGACAAAGUGAACAAAACAGACAAAUCGAACAAAACGGAAAAAGUGAACAAAACAGACAAAUCGAACAAAACGGACAAAGUGAACAAAACGGACAAAACGAACAAAACGAACAAAACGAACAAAACGAACAAAACGAACAAAACGAACAAAACGAACAAAACGAACAAAACGAACAAAACGAACAAAACGAACAAAACGAACAAAACGAACAAAACGAACAAAACGAACAAAACGAACAAAACGAACAAAACGAACAAAACGAACAAAACGAACAAAACGAACAAAACGAACAAAACGAACAAAACGAACAAAACGAACAAAACGAACAAAACGAACAAAACGAACAAAACGAACAAAACGAACAAAACGAACAAAACGAACAAAA
rnacentral:lncRNA from 1 species